CCUACGGGUGGCAGCAGUGGGGAAUAUUGCACAAUGGGGGAAACCCUGAUGCAGCGACGCCGCGUGAGUGAAGACGUACUUCGUUAUGUAAAGCUCUAUCAGCAGGGAAGAACAUGACGGUAACUGAGUAAGAAGCCCCGGCUAACUACUUGCCAGCAGCCGCGGUAAUACGUAGGGGGAAAGCGUUAUCCGGAUAUACUGGGUGUAACGGGAGCGUAGACGGUAGUGCAAGUCUGGAGUGAAAGGCGGGGGCUCAACCCCCGGACUGCGCUGGAAACUGGACGGCUGGAGUGCGAGAGAGGUAAGUGGAAUUCCGAGUGUAGCGGGGAAAUGCGUAGAUAUUAGGAGGAACACCAGUGGCGAAGGCGGCUUACUGGACUGUAACUGACGUUGAGGCACGAAAGCGUGGGGAGCAAACAGGAUUAGAUACCCCUGUAGUC
rnacentral:rRNA from 1 species